rnacentral:rRNA from 1 species
UACGUAGGGGGCAAGCGUUGUCCGGAAUCAUUGGGCGUAAAGAGCGCGUAGGCGGUCCGGUAAGUCCGCUCUGAAAGUCCGGGGCUCAACCCCGGGAGGCGGGCGGAUACUGUCGGGCUAGAGUCCGGAAGAGGCGAGUGGAAUUCCUGGUGUAGCGGUGAAAUGCGCAGAUAUCAGGAGGAACACCAAUGGCGAAGGCAGCUCUCUGGAACGGUACUGACGCUGAGACGCGAAAGCGUGGGGAGCGAGCAGG